rnacentral:tRNA from 1 species
GGGGGUGUAGCUCAGUGAUAGUGUGCAUGCUUGGCAAGCACAAGGUCCUGGGUUCAAUCCCCAGUGCCUCUG